rnacentral:rRNA from 1 species
GACGAACGCUGGCGGCGUGCCUAAUACAUGCAAGUAGAACGCACAGUUUAUACCGUAGCUUGCUACACCAUAAACUGUGAGUUGCGAACGGGUGAGUAACGCGUAGGUAACCUGCCUGGUAGCGGGGGAUAACUAUUGGAAACGAUAGCUAAUACCGCAUAAUAUUAAUUAUUGCAUGAUAAUUGAUUGAAAGAUGCAAUUGCAUCACUACCAGAUGGAUCUGCGUUGUAUUAGCUAGUAGGUGAGGUAACGGCUCACCUAGGCGACGAUACAUAGCCGACCUGAGAGGGUGAUCGGCCACACUGGGACUGAGACACGGCCCAGACUCCUACGGGAGGCAGCAGUAGGGAAUCUUCGGCAAUGGACGAAAGUCUGACCGAGCAACGCCGCGUGAGUGCAGAAGGUUUUCGGAUCGUAAAGCUCUGUUGUAAGAGAAAAAUGGGUGUGAGAGUGGAAAGUUCACACUGUGACGGUAUCUUACCAGAAAGGGACGGCUAACUACGUG